rnacentral:SRP_RNA from 1 species
GCUGGGCAUGGUGGUGCAUGCCUGUAGUCUCAGCUACUCAGGAGGCUGAGGUGGGAGGAUCACUAGAGCCCAGGAGGUGGAGGGCUGUGGUGAGCUAAGAUCACACCAUUGCACUUCAGCCUGGGCAACAGAGUGAGACCCUGUCUCUA